rnacentral:lncRNA from 1 species
CACUACUCUGCUAGCUUCAGGGCUGGCAGGCAAGGUUGGAAGAGCAGGAUAAUCAGCUGGAGACCUUAGCAUGCUGCUUUGCAAAGCUAGGAGGGCGUCUCCCAAGCAGGGCUACCAUUUGAGCUGGAUAUGUCUGUGACUCUGGAAGGGGUGGGUUGAGCACUGUGUCGGACACAACAAAAGGAGUGAGUACUCCCAGGAUUUUGGUCCAGCUCUGGAAGGAGGCAGAAACUUGAUACACUCCCACGGAGCAAUAGCUUCUGGCAGUGUACACAGUGCUCCUCCAGAUGGAUUUUCUCAUGAAGGAACAGCAGAUCGUGCCCUGCCAGGAAGGUAUUUUUAUAAUUAUCUUCAUGAACUUCUAGGAGAAAUAGAAGCUCAGAGAACUGAAGUGAUUUGCCAAGACAGAGAAA